ACGAGCAGCCCCCGGCCUCAUGGGGUGGAUUUCACGCUGGAUCCGAAGCAGGGACAGCUCGGGGGGGUGUCUGCUGCUCUCUGCCCGACAAGAAGACGGGAUAAAAUAGCAUUUAUCCCUCCCAGGACACUCAGCUCUUUCCUGGCUUCACCUCGCGGGGGGAGCGGUGUCUGCAGGCUGAGCACCACGUCAUCCCAGACACAGCCAACGAGAUGGAAAGGGGCAGAAUGGAGAUCUCCGGGCUGUUCCUGUGUCCACGGGGGAAACCAGGGACCAGCUCUUGGUGACACAGGAGGAACAGCACGACAUGACACCUGCUCGGGUGGCCAGCGUGGUCCCUUUCUGCUUCAGGGCACUAGAACCAAGCCAAACCCCACCACGGCACACAAGGUUUUAUGGUGAGGAAGCUGAAGCUGGAAACACAGGUGGUGACCGACGAGCCCAGGCUCUCGGUGUGUGGCUGCUCGUUGCAGGACGGCUGUGACCACAUCUGACAAGGGUUCCGGCUGCGUGAGGAACUGCUGGGGCUGCAGGAAGCACCUAGAGAUCAGGGUUUUUCCAGUAUGGCCUGAAUUCUGUGGACGGACUCUUUCCUGGCCUGCCGAACACUGUCCUGGCCACCAGUCUCGAUGGAAUCCAGUUCCAGCAGCAGCUUGGUCAACAUCUCCUCCAGGAGCCGGGGCUGGCACCCCCUGUCCUGCCAAACGGGCUGUGAAAGGUCCCAAAGAGGGACACGGGACCCACACUCUGGU